UCUUAGCUUAUUGCUUGUGUCAGGGU
rnacentral:piRNA from 1 species